AUUUUCGAAUUUUCAGAGUUAAAGUAACGAAUCAUGAAACAUAAUCGAAGAAAAGCAAGCGCAACACCAGCGCCUUUCCAAACAUAUCACUGCGUCGCCAUUCGAAAACUCUAGAAUGCUCGACAGAAUGUUGCUCCCAAUGCAACAAUGUACCGGGAGAAUAUAUGAAAUAAUCGGUUUACCUCGCGUGCUAGAAAUUGUUUUCGCACGUGGUCUCUUAUUUGAUAUUUAAUUCCUUGCGUGACCGAUUAAGAGAACGACGAGAAGUGAGAAACAAGUGAUAAUCUUUUAAUCGAGAAAGUAAAAUGAACAAACUCGUAAAAUUACGAACUUUCAUCUUAAUAAUAAAAAUUGUGGACGCAUCCCUGGUUAAGCUAGGUUAGGUUAUGCAACGAAGAUUCUUAUUAGUAGUGUCGAGGCACUGGGAUACUUUCCUUUCCUUUACGACUCCUUGUAAAGAGGUAAGUGUUCGCGGUAAAUUGUUAGAAUCUAAGCAAUAAGAAUCAAAGGCGAGUGUGUAUCUGUAAAAUCUCUAAUUGUUUGUGUUCCACAAACAACACGUGCAGUUUAUUAUGAACUUUUCAUUUCUUUCAUUCUUUCCUAAUGCUCGACGAUUAUUUCUUUCUUUACCAGUAGAAAAAUUAAUGACCAAUUGCAUUUCUUCGUAGCUUACGUUCUUCUUUACCUACAUCUAUUCAAAUAUAUUUUAUUAUUCCAUAAAUAUUCACAAAUGUCACUGUUUGGAUCACAGAUACUAUUCAUCGAUUCCAAAGAUCGUAUGCAAACUCGUGUAUCUUAGAAACAUUGCAGAAUUAGUUAUGCAUAACUCUUUAAGAAUGUGUAACGUCCAUAUCUAAUAGAAUGAAACGUAUGCAACAUCACAUAACGUUGCCUCGCGCGCGAGAUAUUCUAAGAGAAAGGUCUUUCCAUACGCUUUUCCACGAGAAAAUUCUUUAAGUCGAUCCACGGAUCGUGAGCUUAAUGCGUGUACUUUCUCAAUAAAUAAAUACCUUAUCAUUCUUAUUGAAAUCAACUUUCCACCGGUUAGAAAAUCGUAAUAUUUCAGAAAAUCGUGUCUCGACCCAUUCAAUUCAAAAGUAAAUCGACGAGAUUACGUGCAAUUUCGAUCGAAUUUUUCUUUUCACUUUUUUUACGUGUUUUCCAACAAGGACAGGUUGACAGUGGUUCUCAACCUUUCUCAGAAUGAACAAUUCUUUUUUCGUAACCGAUCUAUGUGUUAAUUUAACUAUUUAAUCUUUGUGUUUGUGUUACGUGAUAAUACGAAGAAAUUACAAGAGUUGGCUGAGAAAUGCGACAGGUUUGGUUGCGUAGAAAAUUUUAUCGCAUACCAGACUAGUGCUACGACAAAAUGUGUAAAUGUCACGUUUCACCGUUUCAUUUCUUCCUGAUCGCGGAAUAUCGACAUACAGCCUUCCUGGAUCCAGUAGUGAGAUAUAUACACGAUAGAUCCCUCUCCUUCCACGUGAAGUGCAACGUUCCAAAAAGUCAGCUCGCUCACCUCCUUUUACUUCUUUUCCAUGCGCAUAAUUUGUUCCUUUUUCUUCGACUUCGAGGUUACGUCGAAGAACGUUUCUCCAUCUCGUUUUCCCACUAAUCAACCAUUUUAAUAGCAGUUUUUCUACGUUAUUGUGGCAGAACUUCCGGGUCCAGCCACGUUAAAGAGUGUAUUCAUGCGCGACGGUAUAUUUCCGGGAGAAAUACAACGGUAUAUAGUUUAUUAGCCUAGAAUUUUUAUCAGGCCGGAAGGAAAACAGUGGCGGAAAUCGAUCGAAGUAAUUCGAAAAUGUUUAGAAAAUAAUUUCUAUUAUGCAAAAUUAUGUAAUAGAAAGUAAGAUUUAUUACGUAAAGAGAUCGAUGAGAGAAGGUUAACUCUUUUGAGACGUAUUAUUGUCUUACUAGAU
rnacentral:lncRNA from 1 species